rnacentral:rRNA from 1 species
ACUUUUAACAAUAGAUCUCUUAGUUCUAGCAUUAAUAAAGAACGCAGCAAAAUGCGAUAAGUAGUGUAAAUUAUAGAAUUUAGUAAAUUAUUAAAUCUUUAAACGCACAUUACGCCCCUUAGUAUUCUAUAGGGCAUACCUAUUUAAGCGUUAUUUGUACCCUUAAGCUCUGCUUAGUGUUAGGUGUUUGUUCUACUUAGGACUUGCCUUAAAAUAAUUAGUAGCUAGCAUAUUAGCCUAGAGCGCAGCACAUUUUACGCCUCUUAUUAUAGUUAUUAGCAUCUAUUAAGACACUUUUUAAGCUCUUAACCUUAGAUUAGGUAGGGAUACCCGCUAAACUUAAGCAUAUUAAUAAGCGGAGGAAAAGAAACUAAUAGGGAUUGCCCUAGUAACGGCGAGUAAAGCGGCAACAGCUUAAAUUUAAAAUCUAGCUCUUUUAGGGUCUAAGUUGUAAUUUAUAGAGGGCGCUUUAGCGUUAGUAGCAGUCUAAGUUCCUUAGAAUAGGACGUUAUAGAGGGUAAGAAUCCUGUACGUGGUCGCUAGCCUUUACUAUAUAAAGCCCCUUUAACAAGUUAAGUUAUUUAGGAAUAUAGCUCUAAAUAGGAGGUAAAUUUCUUCUAAAGCUAAAUACUAGCUAGAGACUAAUAGCGUAUAAGUAGAGUAAUUAAAAGAUAAAAAGCACUUUAGAAAGAGAGUUAAAUAGCACGUGAAAUUGUUAAAAGGGAAGCGCUUGCAGCUAGACUUGCCUGUAGUUACUUAUCUAGGCUUUUAUCUAGUGCACUCUUCUAUAGGCAGGCUAGUAUUAGUUUAGGUAGUUAGAUAAAGGUCUCUGUUACGUACCUCCCUUUAGGGAGGCCUUAUAGGGGAGAUAACAUGUAACUAGCCUAGACUAAGGUCCGCGUAUCUACUAGGAUGCUAGCGUAAUGGCUAUAAGUGGCCUAUCUUAAAAUAUAGACUAAGGAGUCUAACAUCUAUGCAAGUAUUUAGGUGUUAAGCCUAGACGCGUAAUAAAAGUAAAUAGAGGUGGGACCCCUUUUAGGGUGCACUAUUAACUAAUCCUAAUGUCUUUAGAAGGAUUUAAGUAAGAGCAUAGCUAUUAGGACCUAAAAGAUAGUAAACUAUGCUUAAAUAGGGUAAAGCUAGAGGAAACUCUAGUAGAGGCUCGCAGCGGUUCUAACGUGCAAAUUAAUUAUUAAAUUUAGGUAUAGGGGCGAAAGACUAAUUAAACUAUCUAGUAGCUAGUUCCUACUAAAGUUUCCCUUAGGAUAGUAGUAACGUAUUUAGUUUUAUAAGGUAAAGCGAAUAAUUAGAGGCCUAGGGGUUAAAAUAACCUUUACCUAUUCUUAAACUUUAAAUAUGUAAGAAGUCCUUAUUACUUAAUUAAACGUGGACACUUAAAUGUACUAUUACUAGUAGGCUAUUUUUAGUAAGUAGAACUAGUAAUGCAGGAUAAACUAAACACGGGGUUAAGGUGCUAGAAUACACGCUUAUUAGAUACUAUAAAAGGUGUUAGUUUAUCUAGACAGCAGGACAGUAGCUAUAGAAGUUAGAAUCUGCUAAGAAGUGUGUAAUAACUUACCUACUAAAUAAACUAGCCCUAAAAAUAGAUAGCGCUUAAGCGUGUUACCUAUACCCCGCCGCUAGGGCAAGAUUUAAGCCCUAGCAAGUAGGUAGGCGUAGAGGCUCGUGACAAAGCCUUAGGGGUAACCCUAGGUAGAAUAGCCUCUAGUGUAGAUCUUAGUAGUAGUAGUAAAUACUUAAAUAAGAACUUUAAGGACUAAAGUAGGGAAAGGUUCUGUGUGAAUAGUAGUUAGACACAGGUUAGUUAAUCCUAAGAGAUAGGGUAAUUCUAUUUUAAUGUUAGCGCUUACGCCGCGCCCUUAAAAGGGAAGCUAGUUAAUAUUCUAGCACCUAGAUGUAGAUUCUCCGCGGCAACGUAACUAAGAGCGGAGACCUUAGCAGGAGCCCUAAGAAGAGUUCUCUUUUCUUCUUAAUAGUCUAUUACCCUAAAAUUAGUUUGUCUAGAGCUAGGGUUUAAUAGCUAGAAGAGCGCUGCACUUUUAUAGUAUUUAGUGCGCUCCUAACAAGCCUUAAAAAUCUACUUAAAGAAAUAGUUUUUACGCUAGGUCGUACUUAUAACUACAGUAGGUCUCUAAGGUAAAAAGCCUCUAGUUAAUAGAAUAAUAUAGAUAAGGGAAGUUAGCAAAAUAGAUCUGUAACUUUAGGAAAAGGAUUAGCUCUAAGGGUUAGGUACGUUAGGCCUUAGGGAGAAGCCUCUAGCGUAGAAGGGCACUAACUGCAAGGUAGGCGCCUCUUAGCGCUAGGGUGCAGACACCCUUAGUAGGUUUUGGCUGUCUAGCGUACGUUUAACAACUAACUUAGAACUAGUAUAGAUAAGGGGAAUCUAACUAUCUAAUUAAAAUAUAGCAUUAUAAUAGCUAGAAAGUAGUAUUAACGUAAUAUAAUUUCUGCCUAGUGCUCUAAAUAUUAAAGCAAAGAGAUUUAACUAAGCGCAGGUAAAUAGUAGGAGUAACUAUAACUCUCUUAAGGUAGCUAAAUACCUUGUUAUCUAAUUAGUAACGCGCAUAAAUAGAUUAACAAGAUUCCUACUAUCCCUAUCUACUAUCUAGCGAAACCAUAGCUAAGGGAACAGGCUUAGCUAAAUUAGCAGGGAAAGAAGACCCUAUUAAGCUUAACUCUAGUUUAAUAUUGUAAAAAGAUAUAGGGGGUAUAGAAUAGGUAGGAGCUUUAGCGCUAGUAAAAUACUACUACCCUUAUUGUUUUUUUACUUAUUUAAUAAAGCGGAGCUAGGCCUUACUACCUAACUUCUAGCGUUUAAGGUCCUUUAUAGGCUAAUCUAGGUUAAAGACAUUAUUAGGUAGGGAGUUUAGCUAGGGUGGCAUAUCUAUUAAACUAUAACGCAGGUGUCCUAAGGGGGACUUAUAGAGAAUAGAAAUCUCUAGUAGAGUAAAAGGGCAAAAGUCCCCUUAAUUUUGAUUUUUAGUGUGAAUACAAACUAUAAAAGUGUAGCCUAUUAAUCCUUUAGUCCCUUAAAAUUUAAGGCUAGAGGUGCUAGAAAAGUUACUAUAGGGAUAACUAGCUUGUGGCAGCUAAGCGUUUAUAGCAACGUUGCUUUUUAAUCCUUUAAUAUUAGCUCUUCCUAUUAUACUAAAGCAGAAUUUAGUAAGCGUUAGAUUAUUUACCUACUAAUAGGGAAUGUAAGCUAGGUUUAGACUGUUAUAAGACAGGUUAGUUUUACCCUACUAAUAACCUUGCCCUAAUAGUAAUACCGCUUAGUACGAGAGGAACCGCGGUUUUAGAUAAUUAGUUUUUGCAGCUAUCUAACUAGGUAUUGCCGCGAAGCUACUAUCUACUAGAUUAUAGCUAAACGCCUCUAAGUUAGAAUCUAUACUAGAACAGGGUAAUUUCCGCCUGCACUAGUUAGAUACAAAUAGGCCUUUAGCCCAGAACCUUACUAGAUUAGCGUUAGCAGCCCUAUUAAAGUUAGGGUUGUUAGCUAGUGUAUUACAAUUGUAUAGUGCGCAGGAUUAAAUCCUUUAUAGAUAACUUAGUUAUCUAGCUAGGUCGUGUAAGUAGUUAAGUAGCCUUGUUGUUACAAGCUACUAAGCGUAAGCCCGUUGCUAGCUUGGUUAAAAUUAGGAUAUUAUACCCUCCUUAUUUGCAAAACUGCUACCUAAACAGCUGCUAUUAACAGAAGGAAGAGGGCUAUAGCUAACAUGUUAUAUAGCAAUUGCAAGAUAGCGAGGGCUAGAGCUAGAAGCAAUCCUUACAAAAUAUACAAAAGAAUAGGUUAUGUGUGUACGUACCUUAGGCAGUUAAAUUAUAGCAUAUAAAGAUUAAGAAAGGACAUAAAAUAAUCUAUACAUAUUUGUAGGUGGUGUUCUAUAACUUAGGGCGUUCUAUAACCCUUUAUUUUUUAGGGGUAGUGUUCUAUAACUUAGGGCGUUCUAUACUUAAAAAAUCUUAUAGGCUAUUCUAUAACUAUAGAUUAUUCUAAACCUUUAGGGCAUUCUAUUAAUAUUUUAAAAAAUCUAGUAGGCUAUUUUAUAAGCUUAUAGCGUUCUAUAACUUUAGGGCGUUCUAUAACUUAGGGCGUUCUAUAACUUAGGGCGUUCUAUAACUUUUUACUUCUUAGGGGUAGUGUUCUAUAACUUAGGGCGUUCUAUACUUAAAAAAUUAUAUAGGCUAUUCUAUAACUAUAGAUUAUUCUGCACUGGCAGGUACGUCAGGCAAAAUGUGCGAGCUCCUGCCCACUGANNNNNNNNNNNNNNNNNNNNNNNNNNNNNNNNNNNNNNNNNNNNNNNNNNNNNNNNNNNNNNNNNNNNNNNNNNNNNNNNNNNNNNNNNNNNNNNNNNNNNNNNNNNNNNNNNNNNNNNNNNNNNNNNNNNNNNNNNNNNNNNNNNNNNNNNNNNNNNNNNNNNNNNNNNNNNNNNNNNNNNNNNNNNNNNNNNNNNNNNNNNNNNNNNNNNNNNNNNNNNNNNNNNNNNNNNNNNNNNNNNNNNNNNNNNNNNNNNNNNNNNNNNNNNNNNNNNNNNNNNNNNNNNNNNNNNNNNNNNNNCAAUAACUUUAAGGCGUUCUACAACUUUCUAUUUAGUUAGGUGUAGUGUUCUAUAACUUUAGCGCAUUCUAUAACUUUUUCUUUUUUAGAGGUACUGUUCUAUAACUGUAGAGCGUUCUAUAACUCUUUCUUUUUUAGAGGUAGUGUUCUAUAACUAUAGGGCGUUCUACAACUUUUUAUUUUUAGGGGUAGUGUUCUAUAACUUUAGGGCGUUCUAUAACUUUAGGGCCUUCUAUAAGCUUAGGGCGUUCUAUAACUUUAGGGCGUUCUAUAACUUUAGGGCGUUCUAUAACUUUUUAUUUUUUAGGGUUAGUGUUCUAUAACUUUAGCGCGUUCUAUACCUUUUAUUUAUUCUAUUACUUUAGUCCUUUCUAUAACUUUAGACUAUUCUAUACUAGUAGCUAUUAUAUCCUUUUUAUAAUACUUAUUAUAUCAUACUAUUAUCUAUUAUUCUUUACUGUUAAGUAUAUCCUUAUAUUUUAUAAAACCUUUUCUCUACUAGCUAGUCCUACUAUACUUUCUUUUAUAACCUACUAGUAUUAAAUAAUACCUUUAUAUUCUUCUUUUAUACUAUCUCUAUUUCUUGCCUUAUCUAUUAAGUAGAUAUAGAUAGAGCUAAUAGAUCUAUAGUUAAUAUAGAUAUAGUAGUUAUAGUAGAGUAUAGAUAUUAGAGUAGAUAUCCUUAUCUAUAUAUUUACCUACUACUAAUAAAAUUCUAAGUUACUCUUAUCCAGCGAAUACGGGUUUAUAGUUUGUAUGGGGCUACGCAUAUCUACACAGUUUUACAUAUAAAAAAGUGUACCUCUAAGCUGUUUUCUGCCGCACUAACCCCGCAACGCAAAAAUUAAACUAAAACCUGUUCCUAUAAUAUAUAAGGAGGGCAAAUAGAUUCUUAAAUACUAAAUACCUAACUAACUAACUAAGGUUAAAUCUGCUGCGCGCAGUUCUUGGAUUAGGCAGUUAAACUAGCGUUGUUAGGCACUAAGGGGGCAAUUUUUGCUUGUGUCCGCGUCUAUACUCCCUACAACUCCCUAUUAUUAGCGCUCUACGCCUGUUUUAGCGGUAGUUAGACUAAAUUUAAAAGUUUUGGUUUUAUAAUAGCUAGCCUUGUUUCCUAGAUUUCUGCCUGGUUUGGAUUUGCUCUAAUUAGUAGGUAAUUAGGGGCUUAGAGAUUGCUCUUCUACUUAACUAGGCAGGCCUAGGCCUAUAUGCUAAAGCAACCCUGCUAUUACGCCUAGUUUUGUAGUUGGCACCUAAAGUCCUACUAUUAAAGUUUUAGUAGUAGGCAAAAUUUAGGGUCUAUAGAUAGCUAGCACUACUAAACUAUUUAAUAGAUCUUAGGGGACAGCCCUACCUAGCAUCCGCUCCUAGUAAGCGUGGUAAAGCGUGGGUUUUCUCUACUUAAGGCAUGUAUAUAGCAAGUUUAAACACGCGGAAACGCCUAUUAGGCUUUAUUGUGGACUAUUCCUUAAGAAACUUAGUAGGGGCAAUUAAAUUAGUUACUAGUUGUAACUAGUGCCUUGUGUGCUAUUAUGCUAGUAGCUAGAAUCGCUUCUGCGAUUUCUUAUCACGUACUUUUUGCCUCCUUUUAGGGGUAGUGCUUGUGCGCUUUGGCGUAUUAGGCAUUAGGAUUGUUACCUAGUUAAUUCUGCUAGUAGUUAUAUACUUAUCUUAAAGAUUAAGCUAUGCAUGUCUAAGUAUAAGCAAUUAUACCGUGAAACUGCAAAUAGCUUAUUAAAUUAGUUAUUGUUUAUUUAAUAGUACCUUACUACUUAGAUAACUAUAGUAAUUCUAGAGCUAAUACAUGCUAAAAACCCUAACUUUAGAAGGGGUGUAUUUAUUAGAUAAAAAACUAACGCCCUUUAGGGCUUCUUAGUAAUUUAUAAUAACUUUACAGAUUGCAUAGCCUUGCGCUAGCAACAGUUUAUUUAAAUUUCUGCCCUAUUAACUUUU